rnacentral:lncRNA from 1 species
CCAAAAACACAACAAGAGAGGUUUAAACCAUGACUUUCCUGUAAAGAGAUUUGACUUAAUACUGAAACUUUUCAAGAUGAAUCUUGUAGAGAUUAGUCAAUGCGUCAAAACACAGAGUCCACAACAUUAUUAAGUCUAAUAAUGAAUUAUUUACCUAUUUCCUCUUAGUUUGAACCAAGCUUCUGCGCAAUGAAAAUGGGCAAGGGCAAGCUCGUUUUUGCAUUUGCAACCAAUCUGAAUCAACUCCAGGGUUACAACUGUCUUGCCAGAAACUCUAUCAGGUGUUUGAUCAGACCCAACAUGACAUAUCCUGCAGAUACUUUGCCCAUUAUCACUUUCUCCUCCACAACUACUCAAAUCCACCACGUGGAACUCCUCCGCCUUUUCCUUUGCUGAAGCAUCACUCUCUCUAAGAACAGAAGCUGAGACACGUGUUGAAGUAUCCUUCUCUACCUCAUGAACAACGUUACAGCAUCCAACACCAUCUUUGCCCAUUCUUGAAUCAUUUUCAUCUCGUUGUUGCCGUUUAGUCUCGCUUUGUUCAACCAACACAUGUUUUGAGACAGAGUCACUGGUUUCACCCUUGACAAGCACAGAUCCACUCGAACUUUCACAAACACUGAUCGAUCUCAAACAACUUUCCGGGUCCAUUUUUUUGCUCCAAAAAAGACAAAAGGGUUUUCAGUUCCCAGGUUCCUACAAAGUUCGAGAUCAAGUAUGACUGUAAUCAGACAAAGUGUGAACAGAAACAGCAUUGCCCUUAAACUGAAAACAAUGUAAAUUGCUCAAAAAAUCAAAACUUUACCAGAAUCCAGAUCCGCUUGAGAGAAAAGAGACGAACUUUAUGAACCAGAGGAACAAUAAAAUCUCAACAAAGGUUUCGUUUUGUUUCAGCUUUAUGCCUCAACGGAAGAAAAAUAAUAAAAAAAACUCGCAUCAGAGAUCCCUUGAGGGAAAACGUCGCUACAGUUACUCUAAUCAGCUACUCUUCGGUUGAAGUUUCUUCUUCUUUGCAAUUUGUCUGUCUGUCUGUUUCGGUAAGCACGAGCUAACAGAAGAUUUGGUUGGUACCCUUUUCUCUUAAAUAUAUAAUAAAUAAAUAAAUAAGCAUAAGUAAGUUUGGUGAAGAUGAUUUAUCAACUCUAAUUCUAUUUAAUUAAUUAGCAAAACCUUGUUGCCAAAAUAAAUACUAAAUAAAAUGGCUACUAUUAUAUUGUAAUCAUAUUCCUUCCUUUUUGUACUAAGCAUUGGUCAGACAAAUUUAAUAAGAAGUUAAUAAUAGAGAACACAUAUUUGUAUAACUUAACAAUUUAAGAUAUAAUUUAAUUAACUAAAAUUAAUUUAUCAAGAAAAUUUGAUCAUUAAUCACAUAGGACUUAAUUAAUCAUCUUGACUAUGGGAUCUUUAUGUACUCCACAUAUUUAUAAAUUUAAAAGUGAUUUUGACCCAAAAAGAACUAUAUAAAUUCAAAUAUUUGGUAGGUAUAGCCAGAAAGAGAAAAAGAACAUUAUUGGACGAUUAAAGUGAAACACUAAACCGGCAAAACCAUUAUAGACUACUCUGAAAAGUUCAUACCUACCCUCCUAUACCAACCAGAAGCAAAUAUGAAUCAAUAAUGAAUAGCAUAGAGAUUGUAAAUCCAUUUAUGGCUACAAAGCUUAAAAAUCUAAAAGACAUUUUACCACCCAACCCAUAUUAGAUUUUAGUAGAGAUAAGGGCUGCAUAGGAAGUACCAUACUAUAAUUAUCAAAAUAUGAUCUUUUAUUAGAUUAAAAAGAAUAAUUUCAAAUAGAUAAAAAAUAAUAAUUGGGUGAUGAUAAGUCACACACAAUACAAGUACCGAGUCAAAACAGAAACAUGUAACAAAACUUAUGAAGGAGGGAAGAAACGGUUGAGGUUAAAGGGGAGAGUGUAGAACUCCUUGCCAGAAACUCUAUCAGGUGUUUGAUCAGACCCAACAUGACAUAUCCUGCAGAUACUUUGCCCAUUAUCACUUUCUCCUCCACAACUACUCAAAUCCACCACGUGGAACUCCUCCGCCUUUUCCUUUGCUGAAGCAUCACUCUCUCUAAGAACAGAAGCUGAGACACGUGUUGAAGUAUCCUUCUCUACCUCAUGAACAACGUUACAGCAUCCAACACCAUCUUUGCCCAUUCUUGAAUCAUUUUCAUCUCGUUGUUGCCGUUUAGUCUCGCUUUGUUCAACCAACACAUGUUUUGAGACAGAGUCACUGGUUUCACCCUUGACAAGCACAGAUCCACUCGAACUUUCACAAACACUGAUCGAUCUCAAACAACUUUCCGGGUCCAUUUUUUU